UGCGACGCCCUAGCUUCCGGAUCAGGGCGAAAGGCCUUCAGGACGUGAGUACGUCCUCGCAAGAGCGUCGCCCCGCUACCUUCUCCGCAGCCGCUGCGGUCGUGCGCCCCCGUGUGUCUGAAGUAAAGAACAGAAAGGACUUAUCCCGCCUUAGGGGACUUGAACCAUGCCGAAGAAUCUUUAUAAAUUUGAAUUUUUCCAGGAGCAAGAAGGGAAUACACAGGUCGCAGCAAGGCAGGCCAUUGUGACCAGGAUUCCCCGGGAUGCCAGGGUGCCCUUGCCUGCACGUGUCCUGUGAGUUUACGCUCCCUGUACAGACUCCCAUGGCAAGCAGCAACCACCAGAUCCUCAUGGUCCAGAUGACAGAGUCUGAGCUAGAAGACAGAAACGGAAAGAGAAAAGGAGAAACCUUGGUCACUGUUUUGUCACUGUGACAAAAUACCUGAGAAAACCAACUUCACGAAGAAAGGUUUGUUUGACUCAUGGUUUCAGAAUCCUUAGUCCAAGGUCACCUGGCUUCACUGCUGUGGCAAGGCAGAAACAUGGCAGAAGGCCAUGCUCACCUCAAGGUAACCAGGAAGGAGAGACAGAGAAAGGGGCCAUGGAUAAGAAAUACCCUUCUAGGGUAUGCCCCCACCACUCCCCCCCCAUGACCUACUCCUCAAUUAGGCCCCACCUCCUGAAGCUUCUACUACCUCCUAACAAUGCCAUCAGCUAAGAGUACACCAGUGGAUUUAUCCACUGAUGAAAUCAAAGUCCUCAUUAUCCAAUUCACUUCCCGAGAGCCCCACCUCUGACCAUCACUGCAUUGUGGACCAAACCUUCAACACAUGACCUCUGAGGGACAUUUUGUAUCCAAUCUAUAAAACCACUUCCUGGAGCCAGAGAAGAAUGCUUACUCACAGGGCCGAUGAAAAGACCAAAUUUGAUCAUAAUGUACAUGAAAAAAAGCACAUGAUAAACAAUAAAGCCAUCGUAGAAUUA